AGUGAACGCUGGCGGUAGGCCUAACACAUGCAAGUCGAACGGCAGCACAGUAAGAGCUUGCUCUUACGGGUGGCGAGUGGCGGACGGGAGAGGAAUACAUCGGAAUCUACUUUUUCGUGGGGGAUAACGUAGGGAAACUUACGCUAAUACCGCAUACGACCUACGGGUGAAAGCAGGGGAUCUUCGGACCUUGCGCGAUUGAAUGAGCCGAUGUCGGAUUAGCUAGUUGGCGGGGUAAAGGCCCACCAAGGCGACGAUCGGUAGCUGGUCUGAGAGGAUGAUCGGCGGCACUGGAGCGUGAACGCGGUCCAUGCGCCUACGGGAGGCAGCAGUGUGGAACAUUGGGCAGUGGGCGCAAACCUUGCACAGCCAUACCGCGUGGGUGAAGGAGGCGUUCGGGUUGUAAAGCCCUUUUGUUGGGAAAGAACAGCAGCAGGUUGAUACCCAGCUGGUGUGACGGUACUCAGAAAAUAAGCACCGGCUAACUACGUG
rnacentral:rRNA from 1 species